rnacentral:rRNA from 1 species
UACGAAGGGGGCAAACGUUAUUUGGAAUGAUUGGGCGUAAAGGGCGUGUAGGCGGUGUAAAAAGUUUGUUGUUUAAAUUCCUGGCCUAACUGGGAGCAUGCAAUAAAUACUUUUAUGCUAGAGUAUGAUUGAGAGAAGUGGAAUUCUCGGAGUAGCGGUUAAAUGCGUAGAUCUCGAGAGGAACGCCAAUGGUGAAGACAGCUUCUUUGGUCAUUACUGACGCUGAGACGCGAAGGCGUGGGGAGCAAACAGG